CCUACGGGUGGCAGCAGUGGGGAAUAUUGCACAAUGGGGGAAACCCUGAUGCAGCGACGCCGCGUGAGCGAAGAAGUAUUUCGGUAUGUAAAGCUCUAUCAGCAGGGAAGAAAAUGACGGUACCUGAGUAAGAAGCUCCGGCUAAAUACGUGCCAGCAGCCGCGGUAAUAUGUAUGGAGCAAGCGUUAUCCGGAUUUACUGGGUGUAAAGGGAGCGCAGGCGGCCUUGCAAGUCUGAUGUGAAAUACCGGGGCUCAACCCCGGAGCUGCAUUGGAAACUGUGAGGCUGGAGUGUAGGAGAGGCAGGCGGAAUGCCGAGGGUAGCGGUGAAAUGCGUAGAUAUUAGGAGGAACACCAGGGGCGAAGGCGGCCUGCUGGACGAGGACUGACGCUGAGGCUCGAAAGCGUGGGGAGAAAACAGGAUUAGAUACCCUUGUAGUC
rnacentral:rRNA from 1 species